rnacentral:rRNA from 1 species
GACGAACGCUGGCGGCGUGCUUAACACAUGCAAGUCGAACGGAACGGCCCGGCUUUUGUGGGGUGCUCGAGUGGCGAACGGGUGAGUAACACGUGAGUAACCUGCCCUUGACUUUGGGAUAACUUCAGGAAACUGGGGCUAAUACCGGAUAGGAGCUCUUGCUGCUUGGUGGGGGUUGGAAAGUUUCGGUGGUUGGGGAUGGACUGGCGGCUUAUCAGCUUGUUGCUGUGGUAGUGGCUGACCAAGGCUUGGACCGGUAGCCGGCCUGGGAGGGUGACCGGCCACAUUGGGACUGGGAUGCGGCCCAGACUCCUACGGGAGGCAGGGGUGGGGAAUAGUACACAGGGGGCGGGAGGCUGAUGUAGCAACGCCGCGUGGGGGAUGACGGCCUGCGGGUUGUAAACCGCUUUCGCCUGUGACGAGGCGUGAGUGACGGUAAUGGGUGAAGAAGCACCGGCUAACUACGUG